rnacentral:rRNA from 1 species
UACAGAGGUCUCAAGCGUUGUUCGGAUUCAUUGGGCGUAAAGGGUGCGUAGGCGGCGCGGUAAGUCGGGUGUGAAAUCUCGGAGCUUAACUCCGAAACUGCAUUCGAUACUGCCGUGCUUGAGGACUGGAGAGGGGACUGGAAUUUACGGUGUAGCGGUGAAAUGCGUAGAUAUCGUAAGGAAGACCAGUGGCGAAGGCGGGUCUCUGGACAGUUCCUGACGCUGAGGCACGAAGGCCAGGGGAGCAAACGGG